GUGUCUGUUGGAAAGUUGUCAGGUGGAGGUCAGAGGCUCGGACCUCUGGGAAGUUGCAGUUGUAGUGUUAACACCAGUGACAACACGUUACCCACACACUGCCUACAGUGUAUGUAUCAUUUUACUUACUAGGACACACUGAUGGCUGGAUACCUCACUUGUGCCUUGUUGCUGGUGGCUUUCUGCUUCUCAGCUGUUCACUCUGAAAGACUGAGGAGGGCGAGUCCCACUAAACCAAUCUAUGGCAUCGCUGGUGGAGUAGACGCCUCGCAUCCCAGCUCGGUAA